UGAGUAUUCUUCCUCCUCUGAUUCUUGGGUACUUGGUAGAUUAUUUUGUAAUUAUGUUCUCAGUUCACUAGGAGGAAUAACAGUGCUUCAAAAUGAAAGUCAGGAGCAUUUGUGAUUCAUUAUGAGAGCCAGGAAGAGGGAAGUCAGGAUGAGGAAUUAGGCACUAAGGUCUGACUCCUCCCAGAUUCUUACAUGAUCCAGUUCACUAUUUCUUCCCUUUGUGUGGCAGGAGGAACUGGAGCGGGACAAGAGGGUCACUUGGAUUGUGGAGUUCUUUGCCAAUUGGUCUAAUGACUGCCAAUCGUUUGCUCCUAUCUAUGCUGACCUCUCCCUCAAGUAAGUUAGUGCAAAGGGAGGGAUAAUGGAAAUUGAGAUGCAGUACCUUCCUUCUUAUUUUUGGCCUUGACUUUUACGCUUUCCAGCCAAAGUCAUUACCCCCUUCUCUCCUCAAAUAUCUUUAUUUUCACUUUUUAAAAUGUUUUCAAUAUAUUAAAUAAUAUGUUCUUCUCAGGUACAACUGUACAGGGCUAAAUUUUGGGAAGGUGGAUGUUGGACGCUACACUGAUGUUAGUACCAGGUAUGUAAAGAUUAGAGCUAAGGAUCUUAGCAAGGAAUUACUUUGAGCACUAUAUAGAGAUACAUUCACAGAGUCUUUUCUGGGCCCUGUAGGUACAAAGUGAGUACAUCACCCCUCACCAAGCAGCUCCCUACCCUGAUCCUGUUCCAAGGUGGCAAGGAGGUAAUGCGGCGGCCACAGAUUGACAAGAAAGGACGAGCUGUCUCUUGGACCUUCUCUGAGGUAUUUGAAGGAAUAGGCAAGUAGUUUGCAAACGGGUACAGAUCAGUGGAUGAGUUCUGAAACCCAACCUGGAUUUGAUUUCCAGUGUCUACCACUUGUCCACUAGUUUUUGAGGAUAUAGACUAGAUACUAGGCCUCAUUUUAGUUCACUCACCAAAUUUACAUUGUAUGCCAGACUGCUAGUACAGGGAACAAUGAUGAGUGAAGACUUAGUCUCUAAGGCGCCUAUAGUAUGUAGGCAUUUAGGCUUCUCAUCACAAAUUGGAUAUCCAUCUGGCUCACAAGAUUAUUUUACAGACUACAUGUAGAUAGUAUCAUUCAUUCUUGGC
rnacentral:lncRNA from 1 species